UACGAAGGGGGCUCGCGUUGCUCGGAAUUACUGGGCGUAAAGGGCGCGUAGGCGGACAGUUUAGUCAGAGGUGAAAGCCCAGGGCUCAACCUUGGAAUUGCCUUUGAUACUGGCUGUCUUGAGUUCGGGAGAGGUGAGUGGAAUGCCGAGUGUAGAGGUGAAAUUCGUAGAUAUUCGGCGGAACACCAGUGGCGAAGGCGACUCACUGGCCCGAUACUGACGCUGAGGCGCGAAAGCGUGGGGAGCAAACAGG
rnacentral:rRNA from 1 species